rnacentral:rRNA from 1 species
UAAGGAAUAUUGGUCAAUGGGCGGAAGCCUGAACCAGCCAUGCCGCGUGCAGGAAGACGGCCCUACGGGUUGUAAACUGCUUUUGUACGGGAAUAAACCCACCUACGUGUAGGUGGCUGAAUGUACUGUAAGAAUAAGGAUCGGUUAACUCCGUGCCAGCAGCCGCGGUAAUACGGAGGAUCCGAGCGUUAUCCGGAUUUAUUGGGUUUAAAGGGUGCGUAGGCGGUUUAUUAAGUCAGUGGUGAAAGACGGCAGCUUAACUGUCGCAGUGCCAUUGAUACUGAUGAACUUGAAUGUACUAGAAGUAGGCGGAAUGUGACAAGUAGCGGUGAAAUGCAUAGAUAUGUCACAGAACACCGAUUGCGAAGGCAGCUUACUAUGGUAUUAUUGACGCUGAGGCACGAAAGCGUGGGGAUCAAAC